GGCCCUACGGGACGCAGCAGUGAGGAAUAUUGGUCAAUGGGCGGAAGCCUGAACCAGCCAAGUCGCGUGAGGGAAUAAGGCCCUACGGGUCGUAAACCUCUUUUGCCGGGGAGCAAGGGCCGGGACGCGUCCCGGCCCGGAGAGUACCCGGAGAAAAAGCAUCGGCUAACUCCGUGCCAGCAGCCGCGGUAAUACGGAGGAUGGGGGGGUUAUCCGGAUUUAUUGGGUUUAAAGGGUGCGUAGGCGGGCUUUUAAGUUAGCGGUAAAAAUU
rnacentral:rRNA from 1 species